rnacentral:tRNA from 1 species
GGUGAGAUGGCCGAGCGGUCUAAGGCGCCAGACUAAGGAGACCCGCGUAUUUGAUACGUGCUGAAAUCUGGUCACAUUGUGGCGUGGGUUCGAAUCCCACUCUCAUCA